rnacentral:misc_RNA from 1 species
ACGCAGCAAGCUGCGAUACCUAGUGUGAAUUGCAGAAUUCAGUGAAUCAUCGAGUCUUUGAACGCAAAUGGCGCUCCCGGGGUCUCCUCGGGAGCAGGUCUGUCCGAGCGUCUGCCAACCAAAUGCAUUGUCACCAUACCGGUGACAAGAGUGAGGAGCUGCGAAUGCAACCACCUGGUUACACUGCACUCCUUGAAAAAAGCUACCCUGUGCAACACCACAUUGUGACAAGGCAGUCUCUCAGAAGACAGUCGUCACAACGGUAUAACAGGUUGUUUCGCUGUCUCUCGUUGAGCCUGCAACUUGUCCUUGUGUG